rnacentral:lncRNA from 1 species
CGCCCACACAACAAAGUCACAAAACCGUUCCCAAUACAUGCUCCAUCUAAACUUCAUCAAUAUAAACUUCCCUGUCUACAACCAAAUCGACCACGUAAGUGUCCACUGAAGGUUCAUCAAUUCUGUCCACUGCCACCAAGACCAUGGCCAAGUGGACAACAUCCUCAUACACACAACCAACAGCAUCACCACCCUCAUUUGCCUCAUAAGCCACCCGGUAAACCACGGCCUCCAACAAGGCCAACAGGAACAGAAGACAUCACAACUGAUGGCCCGACCAAUGCAAUCACUGCAGCAGCUGGAACUAUUAGUAAUUUAGCCACCAUUGCUAGUACCAUGUCCGAUAGCACAACAUCUAUAUCAGUUGCCCCAACUAGUCCAUCUGCCACUGCAACUAAGGCAUCAAAUGCAACCACCAGAGCACCUGAAACUCUACCCCCAGGGGCUGCCACCACAGUCCAAGUGACACCAACCAUGAACUCAGCAACUGGUGCUGCCUCCACUACAACUGCCCCAGCAUCUGUGGUCACCUCCAAGACACCUUCAGUGGAAUCCACAUCCCAAGAGUCUGCUGCUUCCAGUGCUGCCACCUCCAUAAACCCAGGGGCUGACUCCACAGCCCUCUUAACCUCUGCUUCCACCACUGCACCUGAUUUCACCACAAACAGCUCAGAAGCUGAAGCAACCACAACAGAUGACACCACUCUCCCAAUAAUUUAUGAUUCCACCACUCCAGCUGCCUCUACGACUUCGGCAAACACAGUCCUUGCUACUACUGUUGUCACCACUGCUGCGGCCUCAACGCCCACAUAUGUUGGAGCCACAGGUGCAACAGCCCUCACAACCCCGGAGACUGGGGCCACUAGCCCUGGUGCUACUUCAUUAUCAGCCAGUGCUACCACAACUCUUGCUUCUGCUACCAUGGAAAUAUCCAGAACUUCGACCAUUGCUUCUAGUUCUGUCACAACCCCAGCUACACGUGGUGCCACAACCACAGGUGCACCAAGUUCUGCAACCACCAGUGCACCUGGUACUGCCACCACAGCUGCAUCGAGUUCUGCCAUCACACCAAUGGAUGAGACUACCGCUGAAACAACCAGUGACACAACCACUGAAGCUACUUCCCCAGCGAAUGAGGACACCACUGAAACAGCCGAUGACACAACCACUGAAGCUACUUCCCCAGUGAAUGAGGACACCACUGAAACAGCUGAUGACACAACCACUGAAGCUACUUCCCCAGCGAAUGAGGACACCACUGAAACAGCCGAUGACACAACCACCGUAGCUGCCACCACAACUUCACUCAAUGGGGUAACAACUGGUGCAACAGACUCCUCCACAAUCUCAGAAACAGACUCGUCAAUCACUGCUACUACAACCACAGGAUCCUCAAACCCAAAAUCUGUGGGGACAAUGACCACCACCACAGCAGCGGCCUCUUCAACCCCAUCACUGGAUACGACCACCCGUGGUGCAGUCACAACUUCAGCCACUAAUGAUACAGCUGCAGCUGCUGGCACAACGGUAGCAGGUGUUGCCACUUCAACCCCUGUGACUUCAGCCUCCACUGUUGAACCAGUUGUGCUGACCAGUCUGGGUCAAACUACCACCCAGGCUUCUAGAACUACAACUCUAGGGGAAGAGGCUACCACUGAACCGACCAAUGACACAACCACUGAAGCUGCCACAACUGCACCUGCUGAUGCCACGACCUCCACAGCUAACCCUUCAACCUCAGCAGUAGAUUCCACAUCUCCAGCCAUGAGUACAACUGAUUCGGCUACAACCAUAAUAUCUGGAGUAGUUACCAGCACAGCCACAGUAGUCUCCAUAACUCCAAGGGUUGAUGCCACCACAAGUGUCACUACCUCACCUUCCAUUGCUGGUACCACACCUCCUUCUGGUGCCACCACAGCUGUGGCAAGUGCUGCUUCUACUACUGAAUCUGGUGCACUGGCCAACAGUGAAACCACUGUCCGGACCUCCGAUGCUACAACCCCAGGGGAUGAGACCACCCCUGAGUCGGCAAAUAAUACAACCACAGAAGCUGCUACCACUUCAACUGAAGGUGCCACAACCCAUUCUGCUGACUCCACAACCUUAGAAGUAGGCACUACAUCUGUUGCUACUACUGCAAUGGCUACAUCAUCUGCAACCACAAUUCCUAUGACAGCUACCACUGCAACAGCUGCAAGCUCCACCAGAGCUGCAACUACACCGUCAGCCUCAGAGGCUACCACUACUGCCAGUACAAGCAUACCAGCCACCACCCUCCCUGCUGACCCUGGUUCUUCAGCCAGUGAGGCUACAACUCCAGUGGAUGAGGACACUACAGAAACUUUAGGUAUCACUGCCACUACAACUCCUUCAGGUGUCACCUCCACCACUGUACCUGAAGAUUUAACCACCGAAUUGGACUCUGCCACCACAGAACCCGAAACAGCUGUCUCCACUGAUGAGGUCACUGCUGCCACACCAGAUGAUACUACUCUCGCCACAACAAGUACCGAUGCUGCUGCGACUCCUUCUGCAGAAUCCACAGACCCUCCUGAGGUUUCCACACUUGCAGCAGAUGCUACCACCUCACCUCCAGAAGGGAUUUCCACAGCUCCAGCUAUCACAACAGUAGCAGCAACUACCACACCUGAAACUAAUGCCAUUAGUACUGCCCCAGUGACAACCACCAGUCUCGCAACUACAGUCCCCACAAAUACAGGCUCAGCUGGAACCACCUCUGUUGUUGACAGCAGCAUACAAUCAUCACCUGCUACUGUGACCACAACCAGUAUACCUACAACUGGCCUUGACACUACUUCCCCAUAGUAAGAGCAAUGCAGUGGUGCAUCUCGAGCAUCUUGAAAACAGGUAAAUCAUGCAUGCAAAGAAUUAGAUGAAGAAAUUCAAUAGUGCUCUAUAUUUCUCUAAACACCUUACUUUAAUAACUAGUUACUCUUGAUAUGCAUACAUUUUUAUUCUUUGCAAUUCUAUGAGAGAAAACAGUCUCUUAUUUUGUAUAUAGGAUAUAGAGAUAUGGAAUUUGCUCAAAUUCAGAAUACAUGGUGGCAAAACCAGGACUAAAAUCCAAGUGUCUUCAUACUUUAGCCAACAGUCAG